rnacentral:lncRNA from 1 species
AGUAACCGUCAAGAAGCCAUUCAAGCAAGGCUAGAAAUAAAGAAGCUGUUUCUUCACCGUCCCCUCCUCCUCCUCUCACUUCCCUCCCCAUGGGUACCUUUUGAAAGUCUCACAAAGCACUUUGAAAAAACUACUUGGACCAGUAUGCUGGAGGGUUGACUGAAGGUGGCCCCUCCGCUGGGCUUUAAGCAAACAGAUAAAUUCUGGAAAGGACUCUGCCCUGCCAGCCUGGCUGUGGCCUUCGGAAGGCCCCUCCCAACAUGCCCCCACCCGCCGAUCACAUGGACUGUGUCUUACAAGUUUCCCACAGGUCUGACUAGUGAAAGCAGAGGCUGUGGGGACUUUUGUGGUUUUUCUAGGGUGUGGCCCCACUUUGCCUUCACCAGGCCUGAGUAUCUAUGCCGUGCAGCUUGCCUGCUUCUCAAAGGUCAUGAUUUCCACCCUGGGGCUGGGAGGCAGCUACAUAUUCCUACCCGCUGGCACAGGAUCUGGCCCUGCACUCCCGAGAGGUGGCUGCGAGCCUUGCGGAGGCAGAGAGAGAACAAAAUGGAAAGGAAUCUUCCUCCCGGAGAGCCAUCUUCUGUGCAUGCCGGUGCCUGCAAAAGACAGGCGAGGCGAGACAGCUGCACCUCGGGCCUCGUCGCUGUUGCUGAGAAAGAAAGGAACAAAUAAAUUUAGCUCCAUCCUACGCAUCCUUUGCAGCUGCUGAUUGACCAAACAGAAAGAGGCCUCUAUUUCAACCCUGGCUUCUCAGCUUUUUGCCUGAUGGGGUCUGCUAUCGCCCUUUACAAGGGACUUUUGAAGGAGGAAACGGGCCGUGGCCUUAUUUAGCGCCUGGCCGGCUGGAGGCUGCACAGACAGGAGUUCAAGUUUAGGGUGUCUCUUCUUGCCCAUCCCAAAGCAAAAUGGUGGCCCGGAAACGUUUCCAAAUGGGCUUCGGCUCCUGGAAUUUCCAAUGUAUUUAUUUGGAAGCCAGAACAUGGUGGGUGGAGAGAUGUGUAACUGUGCCGAGGCCAGCCUAUAGCUCCCGAAGCCAUUAGUUUAAUAGCACCAUUUGUGGAAAUAAAGAACUCGCUGACUGGGCUUGAAGGUAAAAGACUGGAACGAAGCACUGAGGGGGUUUCGUGGGGCUCACUAGCGUGGAGAGGUCCCUGCGGGAUGGGGGACAAGCUGUGUGGACUUUGAGUCAGAUAGACUUGGGUUCCAGUCCUAGCUCUAUCACCUAAAGGCACGUUGUCUCUGGACAAAGAGAGCCUUUGCUCUGUGAUAUGUAAGUGAAAUGCUAGCUGUGACACUGAACCUCUCUGAGCCUCAGUUCCUUAUCUGUAAAACAGCAAUGAUGACACGAGGUCGUCACAAGGAUUAAAUGACAAAGAAUACUGAACCUACAUAGCCCAGCUCUUGCUGUGCCAUGAUGGUGUAGAGUGGCCCCUGUUUGACCUGCCCAGGCCCAUUCUCCAAAGAAGCUGUACAGGUGAGGUGGCUCACCCCUGUAAUCCCAGUACUUUGGGAGGCCGAGAAGGGAGGAUCACUUGAGCCCAGGAGUUUGAGGCCAGCCUGGGCAACAUAGAGAGACCCCAUCUCUGCAAAAAAAUAAAAAAAAUUAGCUGGGUGUGGCGGUGCACGCCUGUGGUCCCAGCUACACAGGAGGCUAAGGUGGGAGGAUCCCUUGAGCCCAAGAGGUCCAGGCUGCAGCCUGGGUGACAGAGCAAGACCCUGUCUCUAAAAAAAAAAAAAAAAAAAAAAAAUAGAAGGUGUUUCUUCCCCAAUCCUCUCCUUUCAUUUCCCUCCCCGUGAGUACUAUUUGGAAGUCUCACACGGCACUUUUUAAAAACCACUUUAAGUCCGGGUGCAGUGGCUCAUGCCUGUAAUCCCAGUACUUUGGGAGGCCAGGGUGGGUGGAUUACUUGAGAUCAGGAGUUCAAAACCAGCCUGGCCAACAUGGUGAAGCCUCAUCUCUACCAAAAAUACAAAAAUUAGCGGGACACGGUGGCACAUGCCUGUAGUCCCAGCUACUCAGGAGGCUGAGGCAGGAGAAUCGCUUGAACCCGGGAGGUGGAGGUUGCAGUGAGCCGAGAUUGUACUACUGCCCUCUAGUAUGGGUGGCAGAGUGAGACCCUGUCUCAAACAAUAACAACACUUUAACCAGUAUCCGGGAGGGCUGCUGAAGGUGGCCUCUGCUAGGCUUUACACAAGCAGAUGGGUUCUGGAAAGGACUCCACCAAACCAGCCUGGCUUUGCCUUUGGAAGGCCCCUCCCAAGAUGCCCCCACUCGCCACUCACAUGGACUGGGACUCUGUCUUACAAGUUUCCCACUGGCCUGAGCAGAAGGUGGGAGGAAUUUCUGUGGUUUUCUAGGUUGGCCACAGAAUACUACUCUUCCUCCUCCCACUCUUUUUUCCGUAAGAUUUGGGGCUCAACUUACUCUCAAACUCUGGAAGUGAGGAGGUGGCCCAGGCCUGAUCAUGGGGUCUCAUAUGCCCCUGGCCAUAGUGAUUCAUUUCUGGAAACAUCCCUGGGACUCAAGCUGGGACAAUCAGAGUGAAUUUCAGGAAUGUUGGAUGAAUCUCUUAGGAGGGAGGAAAUCUUUCUGCUGGAUUUCUAAAAGCUCAAGUUUUACACUCAGUGCUGCCAUUGGCUCUCUUUGUAUAAUGGAAGGAAGAGUUGUUCAGAGAAUGAAGCUAACAGAGAUGAAACCAAAAAUGGAGAGAUCAUAUGCUGAUGACCAUUUGAGCCCCUUGAUCCCGCCAUGCCUGAAGCCAUCACCCCUUCAACUUGCUAGUUAUGUGAGUCAAUAUGGUUCCUUUUUGGUUUGACCUAGUCUGAAUUAGGCUUUUGUCUCUUGCAGCUAGAAGAGUCCUAAGUCAUACCAGCUUCAUAAACCUUUGGAAUCUGAAUUUACCUGUGGCCUCAUCCAGAACUGUGAGGCAGGCCGAUGACACUCAGUGCCACCUGCAGUAGUGGAGAGUCUGUGGUGAGACUCUACCUUCUGGCACGCUGAUUUCCCUUAGACCCCUCUUGUGGACAGGAAGGCAAAACAAUGAGAGAAGGGAAAGAAAAAAGGGGGGAAAAAAAGGGAGCGGGUUUCCUAGUAAAGUAGAUUGGGCUUGAAUCUCUUCUUUGUCACUCAUGAGCUCUGAGACCUUAGGCAAGUGACUAACUCCCUGGGGCCCCCAUUUUCUCACCUGUGGGACUUGAGUUGCAGUGAGCAUAUAUGGGUACUAGAUUCUAAAGUCAAGGUGAAGGAAAACAUUUCCGUGAAAAUCCCUUAACUCCGCCCCCUUCCACAAGGUAUGGCACAGCCACAAGUCAGCAAAUUGUCGUAAUGUCAGAGACUUGUGAACAAGAGCAACUCCAUCUUGAAUAGGAGCUGGGUAAAAAGGGCUGCAUUCCCGAUGAUUAAGACAUUCUAAGUCACAGGAUGAGAUAGGAGGUCAACAAAAGAUACAGGUCAUAAAGACCUUGCUGAUAAAACAGGUUGCAGUAAGAUGCCAGCUAAAACCCACCAAAACCAAGAUGGUGACCAGAGUGACCUCUGGUCAUCCUCACUGCUACACUCCCACCAGCACCAUGACAGUUUACAAAUGCCAUGGCAACGUCAGGAGGUUACCCUAUAUGGUCUAAAAAGGGGAGGCAUGAAUAAUCCACCCCUUGUUUAGCACAUCAUCAAGAAAUAACCAUAAAAAUGGGCAACCAGCAGCCCUUGGGGCUGUUCUGCCUAUGGAGUAGCCAUUCUUUGAUUCCUUUACUUUCUCAAUAAACUUGCAUUCACUUUAUGGACUUGCCCUGAAUUCUUUCUUGAGCAAGAUCCAAGAAUCCUCUCUUGGGGUCUGGAUUGGGACCACUUUCCUGUAACAAUAAUACUAUCAUCAUAAUGCAGCCAUUUACCCACCUCCCCAUCCUCCCCAUCCCCCACCUCCAAUCCUGCUCCUUAGUUGAGCACCAAUAAAUAUGCAUUUUAAUAAAUAUGCAUUUUAAACUCUAGAUGAGUGAUUCUCAGCCAGGGUGAUUUUGCCCCUCAGGGGAUGUGUGGCAGCACCUGAAGACAUUUUUGGUUGUCAUAACUAGGGGUAGGAAUAAACGCUCCUGGCAUCUAGUGGAUGGAGGCCAGAGAUGCCUCGAAACAUCCUCCAACACACUAGACAGUCCCCACAACUAAUAAUGAUCCAACCCAGAAUGUCAGUAGCGCCAAGGCUGAGAAAUCCUCAGCUAGAAUCCCACUCAGCACAGAGAGCUGCUCAUUCUAGGAAAGGCUGCCAGGAUUGGAGACAACGAGAACAGAUCCAUAUAUUCCAUUUCCAUGCUUCCCGUGUGGCAAGUUCGCACGGGGACACGACAGGUCUACCCCCUUUCAAUGAGGAUUUUUCUCCUUUCCUUUUGGCCAACUGCAGUUAGUUGAAUUUAUGUAAGUUUAAUGCAUGCAUUAUGUAAGUUAAAUGCAUGCAUGGUAUAAAAGUUAAAUGCAUGCAUGCAAUCCAUGUGGCAAUGCUGUUUCCACCUCACAGCAUUACCCUGAGCAUCAGAGGAGGUCUCAACAGAAUGUGCUUUGCACAAGGUGAACCCUUAAGCCUUUGCACUGACUACUUUUAUUAGUUUCACUUGGUGCAUGCCACAUGCACAGUACAUACUCAAUCCAGCCUUGCUGAAUGGGCUUCAAUUGAUAGAGUUUUCUGGGCCUUGUGUGAGAGGAGGUAACAACUCCAAGGAGAUCUGGAUGCACAAUUCUUUCUUUUUUUUUUUUUUUUUUUUUGAGAUGGAGUCUCAACUCUGCCACCCAGGCUGAAGUGCAGUGGCACGAUCUCAACUCACUGAAACCUCCGCCUCCUGGGUUCAAGUGAUUCU